rnacentral:rRNA from 1 species
UUCGGCGGCCAUAGCGAGAAGGAAACGCCCGGUCACAUUCCGAACCCGGAAGCUAAGCUUCUCAGCGCCGAUGGUACUGCAGGGGGGACCCUGUGGGAGAGUAGGACACCGCCGAAC